CCCACCAAUCAGCCAUCUGUGGUUUGAGACUCACAAGCUUAGGAGAGACUCGGGAGGCAUCAGUUCCGCAUCCCGCACUCCCACGUGAAUUUGCCCCCGCCCUGAGUCAGAACCCUAGAGGGGUGAAAUCCCUGAAUUCUGCAGAGGAAACCCAUACUUCUUUGCUUUUUCAGCAAUUCCAGGAGAUGUCGUUUUUCAAGUGGCAAAUGUGUGGCUCUAGAGGACAGAGUAACCACCUUGCAGCCAAGAAGCCCUGAUGUCAACUCCCAGCUCUGCUGCAGCACCCAGAAAUCACCGGACCUUUCUGCAUCUUUCUGGGUGACUCUGUCAUGAGGAUUUCAUAAUGUAAUUCCCUAGCACAUAAGAAUUUCUCAACCAAUAUGGCUUUCUUUUUUCCUUCUCACUAGUCUUUGAGCUUCUUAAAGGGAAGACAUGUCCUAUUCAUCUCUACACCCCCCACACCAGUCUGCAUUCAGUAAGUGCUCAAUCAAUGUCUGCUGAAUCACAUCUUCCCACUCAACUGCAUGGCCUCGGAUGAUCCAAUUCUGUGGGACUCAGGGUCUCCCUGAUUCUGAAGAUCUCCAUUUCAGCCACCCCAUCCUGGUGCUUUUUCUGGAGAGACUGGGAAAAAGGUCUUAUUGGCUGUGCAAACUUGAGGGAGUUGCCUAACCACUCUGGGCCCUGUUUUCCUGGCUUUGCCACUCUUCAGCUGUGUGACCCGGGGAAGCUCUCAACCUCUUUGUGCCUCCAUUUCCACAUCUGUAAAAUGGGGAUAUGAAAGUGGCUGCUUUGUGAAGAGUCCUGAGAAUAAAUGAGUUAAGGAAAACUGAUAUGGAUAAAUAUGGAAGAGAGCUGGCCAGUGGAUGAAAUGGUGAUGUAAAGGUUAAGAGAAAUAAAAGCAGGAGACGAGGAGAGAGUCACACCACGGUGAGCAGAGAGUUGAGCUGGGGCCCGGGACAAGCAUCAAAAGUGUCACUUCCUCUGAGGUCCCAACCCUACUUCCAUAGGCUCUGCAGCCCACACCACCUUGGAACCAAACAGGGAGGUGGCAGAACUGAUGGGCUGGCCGCACCACCUUAAAUCUCUUAGCUCCAAAACUGGAGGUGCUCAUCAGGACCCUGCAUCAUUUCUGUGGGUGAUGGAUGGUGUGAGGUAAGGCACAGAGAUCUAGACUUAUUUCUCCUUCCACAACAAUUGUUUCUUGGAAGAGGAAGAAAACUUAGCUGGAUUUUAUCUCUUUGUGUGGAUUUCUGGGGUAGACACCCAGAGGUGUGUGCAGGAGCAUGCUCUUUGGGGCCCACAUAGAGAUUCCAGCAGGUGCUGGAGAUUCUGGGGUAGCCUUUCCAUGACUGCUGGCCUCUUUUCCCCUGUGUUGCUUUGGUUUGCUGUCUGGCUAAAGGCAGGAGUGGGAGAAACUCACAUUCCACAAGAGGCUGCCUGGAGCAGAGGCCAAGAGGGUAAGGUUUGUCCAAGGCCUUCCAUCUCAGCUUUGCUGCCAAUUUGUCAGAAAAAAAAUCAUUUGUGCCAAUUAGACCCUGGUUAGGAAAGUGUUGUCCUGUCUGGGAAGCAGGUACAGAAACCAGUUGCAAGGACAGGAGAUCAAUGAAAGUGACACAUUACUUAUGCCUCCAAUUCUUCUCAGCCCUCAAUUUAGUCUCUGAGACACAGAGAAAAUAAGUGUACUUGCCUUGCUAAUGGGUACAUGGUUGGCUUUGGGCAAUUUAUAUAGAGCACUUUAGUUCCAAGAUGAAAUGCACUGAGAUAUUAGGAUUAGUCUCUGCUUUAAUGAGUUUCUGACUUGCAGGUUUGAAAAAAUUUAGUUCUUUUCUGUAUUUCUCUACAAACACAAAACAAUGAUUUAAUGGUAAAACAACAAUGAAAAGAAACUAGGCCAUUCUCUCCAAAAUGAUUAAAAGGGUACUUCUCCUGACCUGACAUAACCUUUCCUCAUAUGAAUUUAUUAUCUGUAUUCACACUCAUAUUCCACUGGAAUGCCUUGGGUCCAGGUGGAUGGUUGCUUAUGGUUAGUAUCGAUUCUGAGCAGGUAGGCAUUCAUACUGUUUGGUUGACGCCUGUGGUGAACAGACCUUAAGGUGACUUCUUGCACCCCUGAGUCAUUUUCUUGUAUAAUCUCCUCUCUUUGAGGACACAAACUGUGCCCUGCUUCAAACCAGUGGAAUAGAGACAAGGUGAUGAGAUCUUUGGUUAUUGCACCUAACUGCUUCAUUCAUUGCACAAUUAGUCACACGCUGUUUUGUGAUGCAGAACAUUUUUUUUUAAGAGAUGGUAGUCUCACUCUGACACCCAGGUUGGAGUGCAGUGACAUGAUCAGAGCUCACUGCAGCCUCAAACUCCUGGGCUCAAGGGAUCCUCCUGCCUCAGCCUCCUGAGUAGCUGGGACUAGAGGUGCGUGCCACCACACCCAGCUAUUUUUUAUUUUUUGUAGAAAUGGAGUCUCACUUUGUGGCCCAAGCUGGUCUCCAACUCCUGGGCUCAAGUGAUCCUCCCACCUUGGCUUAUCAAAUUGCUGGGAUCACAGGUUUGAGCCACCGUGCUUGGACUGUGAUGCAAAAUUUUAUCUAAACCUUGUAUUGUUGACUAUAGCAUCAUGCACUUACUAUUUUCCCUCUUAACUAGAUUUUAAGUCUCUUGAGGGCAAGAACUCUGUUCUUGAAGAUUUUCAGAAGCCCGAUAGCAUAUGGAAGUACUUGACACACAAUAAGUACACAGUCAUAUGUGAUUUGGUUUCUGAGCCUUCAUUUGUCCAACAAAACCAGAUGGGUCUUAGAUGAAGAUAUACGUGGCAAACACUGCAUGCCUACUGUGGGUCAGGUUAGCUCCCAGACAUGCAGAAAACAAAAGCUCUGUCCUCAGGAGUUCAUGAUGGUUCAACCCAAUCAACGAAGUCUUGCAAUCUCACUUCCUCCUUACCUUGUAGAGUUGGAAGAUAUCCAAAUAUUCCUAGAGUUCUUUGUCAAUCUGUCAGGAUUAUAAUUCCACAGAUCAGGCAGAGUGUAACCAUGAAGCUCUUCAGUGAAUUUUUAGUGACUUUUGGGUGAUUUUUUAGUUUCCAAGUAGAAGAAGCAAAAGACCCUUGUGGUGGUUACCUUCCAUCUAAACAGAGAGUGAGCUACAAAGAUACUGCUGUCCCUCAGUGGCCCAUGGGUGUCCCUGCAAAUCUGUGACUCAAGUGGCCAUAUUCAUAUUAAGCAGACCAGAGAUCAAAACCAUAUUAGGCAUGAACCACUUUUUAUUCAUAGGCUUACCGAAUAUAUUGAAUUAAGAGGCAUAUAGUUUGUAUACCCUAUUUACCAAAAAGAGCUAAAUAUGUAUACAGCCUAAAAUACAUCCACUGUAGUCUGCAUACUGUAAAACUUGCUUCUUUACACAUAGAAACUAUUCUUAUUUUACCUAGGUUAUGCACUUAAAAUACAUACAAAUGGUACCAAAUAGCAUAUUGGCCUAUUUUAUCACAAUUCUUAUACAUUCCUGAUAAUCAAAGGGACUGAUAGGGAAUGCAUAGUUUCCUACUAGAAAAAAAGUAGAUUUUGAUACAAGCAAUGGAAUACAGUAAGGAUAAUAAUAACUUGGUUUCGAUCUCAGUAGCUUUACAAUAUGCUUCUUAUUUGAAUGAGCAUUACAGUUGGCUCUCUUCAUUAAUAAUUGAGAUGUUGUUAAUCUUCCUGGUCAUUCUACCCUCUGCUUGCCUGGCUGAGGCAAAAGAAAUCAUCAUCCUUUUUUCCUUUUCUUUCAGUUUGUUUUUACUUUCCCAAGUUUCCUCCAGAGCCAUCUGCCCCACUUUGCCAUUCCCCUUCCAUUGCCACCCAAAUCCGGACCACUUUCUAAUUGCAUCAUUGCAUACAACUAGAUUAUUGUAUUCCACUCCAGGAAGCUGUUGAACAGAAUCUUUGGCCGCUGCCUAAUUAAAGAACUUCCUUCCGCAGCUGCGAAGGAGAGGCUGAUACCUCUGCAGAAGAAUCAGGAAGCCAGCUUAAGAGGUUUUCUUUAGGUGGCAUGCAAAUAGACUCCCCUCCUGCAGAUCUUCAUCUCACCUUCAUUAUACCCCAGGCCAGAGAAAUUUCCAUCAUGAGCACUCCUGACCGCCAAACCUCUGGCAUCCCAUGCUGAUUUCUUUCCUAAAAAUACACAGACUCUCACUCCAUGGGGAAGAAAAAAUGCAACUCUGCCAUUUCCAGUGUGCUUCCUGAAGGCUGAUGACGGCCGAGAGCAAUUCAUCACCACUCGUGCAUUCAGGUUUUGAAUUUUUCCUUCACAGAUCUCUUCUUGUUUAUCUGGUGGACAAUGUGACAAGAACCAGAUGUGUCUCAACCUCAACAUCCUCCCCAUAGCUAUGCAGGGGGAGAAACAACCAGACCAGCUAGAUAUCCUCCUUAGUACAACAGAAAACUAUCCAAAAUUUCUGGACCACUUUCAAGAGUGGGGCCUUGAAUGUAAAAAGAGUGGGGCAUGCAAUUGCAUGUUUGUUAAUUGUUAAAUGGACCAGUUGAUUGAAUGGUGUCUAUUCAGUAUGAUUUUUCUUCUGGCUAUGCAUAUUUUAUUGCACUUUUUACUUUAUCUCAAGGUGCUGCCAAAUUCAAAAUCAUGCUAGAAAUGAAAGUCUUUCUCUGGGAGAGUAUAGCAGGGUGUCUUAGAAAGAAAAUACAAUGUCUGCUGAUCAGAGGGAAAGUUAUUGCUUUGCCAGUCCCUAUUGGAUAACCAUGGCAGGCAAUUCAUAUAGUUUUCAUGUCUAUUUCCUUCUCUCUGAAAUUAGAAUAAUACCUGCCCUGCAAUAAACUUCAGAGCUAUUUAUGAACAAAUGAGGUGAGUACUAAUGUGCAUUGGAAAAAUAUAAAGCUUUGCUAAAUGUAAGGUGGCCUUAUCAUCCACUGUCCAAUAACACAGUGCUCUUCAUGUCUAAGAGUUAUUUUUAGAGUCUUGAUAAUAGACCCAUUCCCGACCCCAUGGAGUAUGGGGACAAGCCCCCUUUAAGGAAAGGCCUUAAAGCCACAUGGCCGCACAGAGGGAUCAGUCCAGGAGCCUCGCCACAAAGUUCAUAAAGAAGAAAUAAGCUGAGCAGACGACCACCCAGUGGGUGAUGGGAGGGAAAGUAGAAGAAAGAUCCACCCCCUCCUUCAAGCUGAUCUCCACUGGGGACGGUCCACAUAUUUCUCUGCUUUGCAUUUUUGCUGUUGCUUGGUUGGUUUUUUGUUUUACAUUAUUACUGGAAGAAUGCUUCUUGCAGAAGUUGUUUAAAACUUCAGGGAUUCUUGGGAUGGAGCAGUAAGAUUAAUGAAGCAAAGAUAUCACCACCCCGUGCCAAGAACAUCUAUGCUCCUUUAGUAAGUUGGCCAGAACAAAUAUCUCCUUCCACAGCACAGGCGCUCUGUAGACUACAGGCUUUAGUCUUGUAUAAAAUAACAUUAUAAAAAAGGAAAACCUGAUUGCAGUUGAGUGGGUCACCCCCUUCUCACACCCCACCCAUCACCUGUUUAGAUCGUUCUUUCACCUCCUAAUUCCCCAUCUGGACUCAACAGCUCUCCCCAUCCUAAGCCCAGCAUCCUGUGUUUCCUGGUUUCCCAGAAUCUGGCAAUGUGAGCAGAAUAGUGAGUGCAGGGGGUCAGUCGCUCAUUUACCCUCAGAGGGGCAGCUGGGAAUGUGAUACCUCUCUGCAGUAGCAACACUGUGAAAAGAUGCCACCUUGCCAUCUCUACAGGUGGCUGGAAUUGGGAACAUCACUUUGAUCUGGCAUAGUUGCUGGGACUGUCUAAAUAUCUCCUACAGUUUGCCAAGUACCCAUUUUUCUGCCCAGGUUUAUCUGAGUGGUUCCAUGCAACAGAAAGAAUAGCUUGCCAUCUUUAGGACUGGAGGAAUGGCAAAGCUCUUUCCCUUUCAGCCUCCAAUGGGGGGACCUGGGCAUUUGUAGCCUGUUCAAAGAAACCAAGAGGGAAAAAAAAGUGCAGAAGAAAAGUAAUUUGCACUUAAAAAUGAAAACAAACCACUUUUCUCCUGUUUGCUUGGUAUUUUGCAGAAGUUUCAAGUAACAACACUACUAUGCGUGGGUGAGUUCGUUCAUUAAAAUCCGUGGUUUCUGAGGCUAGAAGCCUCAGCCUACAGUCCCAGAAUGUACCCAAGAGUGCUGAUGUAACAUCAAUGCUUCAUUCUCUGAGUGCUAUUUAUUGUCUCAAUCUUCAUUGCUUAAAGUCAGGAAACAACAAACACAUUCAUAUUUGUGGCAAAACAUCUACCUACUCAUGACAUGGCAAAUAGUCAUUUUACAAUAACAAUACAGUACAAUAUGAUCGUGCUACUUUCAUGGCUAGGAAUGAAGUUGUUGGGUUUCUCUUUCAGAGCUACCCCUAAAGGCAUUCACUUUAUAUUCUCUGAAGAGAACCAGCUAACCAGGCGGAACAUCCACUAAGAAUCUUCCACAUAACCAGACCCCAGGAGCUUGCCUAUUGCCCAUACCAGAGAGGCCCAUUUGGAAAUACACCAUCUGGUCUCUUGAGCACAGACCUGGAGUGUGGGAUUCAGCUUGGCUGGCUCCAAAGCUGGCCCCUACUGAUCAGCCUGAGAUCCCCAGCCUGCACAGGCUGAUUCCACUGCCAACACGUGGCCCCAUGUGGGUCCUGGCGGGGGUUCCUUUGGUAAAGUACUGGGAGAGGAAGGAGUCUUCCUAUCUGAGUAUCUUGGGUUGUGAUUUGGUGUGGGCUGCACUGGCAGUGCAAUAGCAGCAACUCAACAAAACAGGACUGUUACACAAGCGGGGCGGAAGGCAGGUGGGCUGGCAGGGAAGUUGGUAUUCGAUUACUUGAAAUAUUAAGUUGUCCAGAGGGCAAGGACACGCACAAAUCAAAGGGCCACCUCUAGGUUUCAAAGCAGGUCGAGAUCUGUGUAAAGUCCCCUUUGACUUCAUAAAAUCUCACUUCAAAAAUUCUACCGAAUGCUCAUCAGACGGAAAUAACUGUUUCAUCCCUCUAAAGGAUGAAAUGAAAAGCACCAGUCUUUGGCCUGCCUGCUGGUUACCCACAAACUCAACGGGUGGGUUCUGAGAAGCAGAUGAGCCAUGAAGAGCAUCAAACAAGCAUUACUGCUCUGGCCACCACCAGGGUCACCUUUGAACCGUAAGAAAGAGGGAAAAACUCCUUUGAGUCACUCCUGGGCCUACAGCCUGUGCUGGGUCUAGACAUGUGUCACCAGAGUAUUGUCUUUGUGGCAGAGGAAGCAAUGUCAAACACUAAAUUGUUAACAUAUCCAUGACAAGCAUUCAUAUGAGCCAACAAAAUCACCAAGGUUCUGCUAUUAAGGAGGAUUCAGGAAGACUGGGCAUUACUUUCAGGAAACUGGGAUGACUCAAAAUAGCACUGCUGAGUGUUACAAGAUUUUUAAACUAAUAAUCAGCAAAUCUUUUCAGCAGACUUUUGGCUUUAAGAGUUCUUACCAAAAAGAUUGCUAAAGUGGAAUGAGAGGGGCUCAAAGUUUUUUUUUAUUUCAUUAUAAGUGCUGUCCCAUCUUAUCCAAUUGUCUUCUUCCUCAUCAAAAAGCGGGGGGGAAGCAUAUUACAUUUCUAGAUGAUAAGAGUAAAUGCUGUACUCUUUUCUCAGAAAUUACAGGCUUUAAGAUUUUUUUUUAAAUGGUAGAAUGGGCAUGUCAUGCAGUUAGCCAAUAAAUGCAAUCCCUGAUUAAAAUGUGAGUUCUAAAAGUUUGAAAACAUCUAACUAUUUCAGUGCUUUUUAAUUUCAGAGCUCUGAGCCUGGCUUUGAUUUGUUUGUUGAUUUUUCUUGGUCCUCUUUUGUGAGAGCUAAUGCUACAUUUCUCUUAGUUUCACCCACCACACCUUCACAAACUUAAGUCAACAAUUAUAUGUUCAAAAAUCUUUGUUUUCCCUUUGAAACUGGAUGCAAAAAAGAAAUCUCUCCUGUCGGUGGAGACAGCUGUGAAUGAACGAGGCGCCUGCACGUAAAUCUCCUUAAACUUUUUGAAUAGCUGCUUCUCUUUAUCCCACUGGUAUAUCUGAGAGAAUGUAUAGUCACUCCCCAGGGCCAGGUAGUGAUUAUCUUUAAAAGAAAAGGGCUGCAGGGUCAUGGCCCCCCGGGAUGGAAGAGCUUGGAUCUCCACAAACUGCUUACUGUUCCACCUCAUGACCCGGGAGUCCCCGAUGAAGCGGGUAAGGGAAAGGUAGAGGGUAUUUUGCAUUCGGAAGCUCUUCACAGCCAGUACGUCCUCCAUGUUGGGGAUGUCACCAUGGGGGACAAACUUCUUAGAGCUUUUAUUCCACUGGAGGAUGAUGGGGACCUGGGAGCGGCUGGACAGGAUGAGAUGCGAUUUUCCAUCGAUAUCAACAAACUCCGCAUCCGUGUCCCUGAACCACUCGUGCAGUGACUGGUAAGAAUAGAAUCCUUUGCUGUUCCAUUUAUAAACUGUGGACAGACCAGCCUUUGAGCUGUCUGCGAUGACAAAGAACGUCUCGUCGUCGAUCUGAAACAGCUCGAUGUCAUUGGGCUUGGAAAUGCGAGAGACCUCUAUGUCUUGGAAUUUGACAAAUUUGGUCCAACUCUCGUCGUAUUUGUAAAUGUGAGAGCCACCGAAGAGCUGGGCUACCACCACAAAGACCUGAUCAUCGAUGAGAAUGGCCUUACAGCCCACGAUGGACUGACCUGUGCUCCAAAAUAAAGGAGAGGACAUUAGUGCAACUACAGCUAAAAACGCAUCUCCGCUUGUACUCUUAUACACUGCUGGUGGGAGUGUGAAAUGGCACAGCCACUAUGGAAAACAGUAUGGUGGUUCCUUGAAAAAUUAAACAUGGAAUUACCCUAUGAGCCAGCAAUUCCACUUCUUUGUAUAUACCCAAAAUAAUUGAAAGCAGUGACUCAAAGAGAUAUCUGUACACCUAAUGCUAUAGACCAAAUGUUUGUGCUCUCUCCAAAUGCAUAUGAUGAAACCUCAUCUCCAAUGUGAUGGUAUUUGGUGGUGGGGCCUUUGGGAGGUGAUUAGGUCAUGGGAGCAGAGUCCUCAGGAAUGGGAUUAGUGCCUUCCAACUCCCUCUGCCCUUUCACCACAUAGACACAGCAAAGAGGUGGCCAGCUAUGCAGUGGGUUCUUGCCACAUACCAAAUCUGCCAAUGUCUUGAUCUUGGACUUCCCAGGCCCAGAACUAUGAGAAAUAAAUUUCUGUUGCUUAUAAGCCA